rnacentral:RNase_P_RNA from 1 species
AGUCGGUGAGGUAAUUGCGUACAGCUUGCUGUAUGAGGAAAGUCCGAGCAGCGCAGAGCAGGAUAACGGCUAACGGCCGCCGAGAGCAAUCUCCGGGACAGUGCAACAGAAAUAAACCGCCUUAACAGGCAAGGGUGGAAAGGCGAGGUAAGAGCUCACCGAGGGAGUGGUAACAUUCCCUGCCAUGUAAACCCUAUCCGCUGCAACAUCGACUAAGGGGUUGUUUGCUCGACACAUAACCUUGAAGGAUGGCUUGAGCGCAGGAGUAAUUCUGCGUCGAGAUAGAUAAUUACCGUAUACAGAACUCGGCUUAUUGCCGGCU